UGACACUAUUAUCUAUUAUUACAGUCAUACAUGUGCCAGCGGCUGACCAGGAGGCCCUUGACUCGGAUGUGCACAAUGAUUCACCAGUCAAGAAAUUCAAGACAGAUCAUAGAGAUAGACCCAGUACAUCCGUCCAAGUUAUAAAACGAAUUGUGAUGGGCAUAUGUAGACCGCAAGACAAAAUCG